rnacentral:rRNA from 1 species
UACGUAGGGGGCAAGCGUUGUCCGGAAUCAUUGGGCGUAAAGCGCGCGUAGGCGGCCCGGUAAGUCCGUUGUGAAAGUCAAAGGCUCAACCUUUGAACGCCGAUGGAUACUGCCGGGCUAGAGUCCGGAAGAGGCGAGUGGAAUUCCUGGUGUAGCGGUGGAAAUGCGCAGAUAUCAGGAGGAACACCGGUGGCGAAGGCGGGCUC